rnacentral:rRNA from 1 species
UACGUAGGUGGCAAGCGUUGUUCGGAAUUAUUGGGCGUAAAGGGCGCGUAGGUGGCCCGGUCAGCGUGCGGUGAAAGCUCGGGGCUCAACCCCGAGUCGGCCGUGCGAACUCCCGGGCUUGAGUUCUGGAGAGGAAGGCGGAAUUCUCGGUGUAGAGGUGAAAUUCGUAGAUAUCGAGAGGAACACCGGUGGCGAAGGCGGCCUUCUGGACAGUGACUGACGCUGAGACGGCGAAAAGCGUGGGGAGCAAACAGGG